rnacentral:rRNA from 1 species
UACGGAGGGUGCAAGCGUUAUCCGGAUUCACUGGGCUUAAAGGGUGCGUAGGUGGGCAGUUAAGUCAGUGGUGAAAUCUCCGAGCUUAACUCGGAAACUGCCAUUGAUACUAUCUGUCUUGAAUAUCGUGGAGGUAAGCGGAAUAUGUCAUGUAGCGGUGAAAUGCUUAGAUAUGACAUAGAACACCAAUUGCGAAGGCAGCUUACUACCCGAAUAUUGACACUGAGGCACGAAAGCGUGGGGAGCAAACAGG